GACGAAGGAUGCAAGCGUUAUCCGGAUUCAUUGGGUUUAAAGGGAGCGUAGGUGGCCUUAUAAGUCAGUGGUGAAAUCUCUGGGCUUAACCCAGAAAUUGCCAUUGAUACUGUAGGGCUUGAGUAUAGAUGCCGUUGGCGGAAUAUGACAUGUAGUGGUGAAAUACAUAGAGAUGUCAUAGAACACCGAUUGCGAAGGCAGCUAACGAAACUAUAACUGACACUGAGGCGCGAAAGCGUGGGGAGCGAACAGG
rnacentral:rRNA from 1 species